rnacentral:lncRNA from 1 species
ACAAAAUGUAUAGUGGAUUUUUUAAAGAUAAUAAACAAAACUUGCAUUUUUCCUAUAUGUUCUUUUUUCAGUCAUGUUGUCCAUGUUGGUUAGAUUGCAAGAUCAAAGAAUACAUUUUUUUAUACAAAAUCUCCAAAUAAUGAUUUGGUCAAGUUUGGUCCGGUAGUUUCAUAAAAGUAUUUUUUAAAACGUUAAGAGAUGACAACUGAUGGAUACCACAUCAGAAACGGCAAGUUAUCAGAAUGAGAAUUCUUUGAUAUAAGAAGAUGUGGUAUGAGUGCCAAUAAGACAACUCUCCAUCCAGGUCACAAUUUAUAAAAGUAAUCUAUUAUAGGUCAAGGGAUGGUCUUCAACACGGAGCCUUGGCUCAUACCAAACAUCAAGCUACAAAAGGCUCCAAAAAUUAUUAGUGUAAAAC